GCGUUCCUACAAGGCCAGUGGGGGAAUCAUUUCCAAACAUUUGGCAUCUUCAACUGCCCUGCCAAGCCACUUUUCUAAUCUGCCUUUCUUACCAGCGUACGACCAGUCCAUGUCCUCGGUGAACUUGCGCUGGUUCCUGUACGUGUAGGCUCCCACUGCGAGACACAAACGACCACGUUGAAAGAAAAGUCCUUCCUUCAAGCGAAAUCUCCACUGUGACAACAUCAUCCGGGCCCAAAGAAGGACGCCGGGACAGACGGACGGACGACACCACAGACAGCGGGACGGAUGGCAGAACGCAAAUGGCCGAUGGGACAGACGCUGGGAAGGCCAACGGAAGAAGCAGCGAGACGGACCAUUGGAUAGACAGGGAGGACGCCGGGAGACAGAUUGACAAUUUCUUGAGCAAAAAA